GCCCUCAUUUAGGGUAAUUUCACUUUUAUAAAGUUUCUAUUCUGUUGCUGUUCUUACCUGUGGUUAUAUUAGAAUUUACCUCUCUUGAUUGUCAAUAGGAAUGCUUUGCAUCUUUUCAUCAUUUCUUUGUGCAUUAACUUUUAAGGUAGAGCAGUAGCAAUAAGUUGAAUUCAGUCAUCUACUCCAUGUGUUGUGUGAUAUUUUAGGCCCUUGUAUAUGUGAAUGAAAAUGAAGAUCCAUUAUUGCUGAUGUAAAAAGCUGUAGCAUCUCCAUUACAAUAAUGGCUGCACGUGUGUUUUUCUUUAUGGUGUUGGAAUGCUGAGCUUACUCAUUAGUCUUUGUAGUUCUUGAUAUCAUCAAUCACAAAAGCAUUGUAAAAACAUGGGUUGCAUUGAUUCGGGGGAUUGUCUUGAAGACCAUUACUAUUGACAUGCAGUAGAAAAGACUUGAGCUUGCAUUUUCCUGGAAUGUGAUCAUUGCUGGAUGAAAAAAUAGGGGAAAUAUUUAUGCAUCUGAUUAUCAAUUGUCUCCUAGUUAGGCCAUAUAAUGGUAUACCUAUGCCAUAUUUGCUUUGUAGAUAUUUCCAUAUCACCUUGUAGUGUUUCAUAAACUGGUUAUGCUGCUCUUUUGGUUUGGCCAAGAGCCUU
rnacentral:misc_RNA from 1 species